GGCUGCCCCAGGAGCUGCAGCCCAGCAGGAGUCUCGGUGCUGAGGCCUGUGCUGAUCACCCGAGGCUUGGAAGAGGUAGCCCAGGAGAAAUUAAAGGAGAAGAAUUCAAGACUAGAAAAUUAGGUGGUCAGUGCAUGUCUCCGGUUCUCACCAUCAGCCUCUUCUGAGUCUCAGCCUGACCUUCCUUAAAGCAGCAGAGUCUCUCGAACUCCGGGAUCACUUUCCAUUUCAAGAGUCUGAGUGUGGGUGACACUGCUGGAGCCACGAAUACAUUCCAUCAUCUGCCUCCACCAAACUUGCAGUUCUUCAGGGAAAGUUGCAGAUACAUAUUUCUCAGGACAAUGAAAAGACAUCAGACUUCCCAGAAGAAACACUGAAUGCCUGAGCCAUGAGAAGGUGCACAGCCCACGGCCCUUCACCUGUAAGUGAGGAGCUUGGUUGAGACAGUG